rnacentral:lncRNA from 1 species
UGGCCAUUCCUCCCACUAGUUUCAUAAAGCCUGCCAACCUGAUGACUGUCUUAUAUAGAAAUUGUGGAGCUGUCCCAGAAGUUGGGAGUUAUUCCAGAAGACUUAGUAUCAAGCAAGGACCAGAGAGGGAAAGGGAGAAACAGGAAAGGCAGGCAGAUGACAGCUUUCAGUCCUUGAUGGAUGGAAGAAGAGGGGACGCCUUCUUCCUAUUAUUGCUACGGUAGAACUGAGACUACACAAAUUGCCAAGCUCCCUCAUCCUUUUUUGGUCAAAUUUCAUUUACUGACAAGGUAGUCCAUACUUCUCCUUUCUUCUUCACCUUACUCUACCCGCUCAUCUCACUUUACUUUACGGAAAGAGGUUUUUCUCCGUGGCCUGAUGUCCUCCCAACAUAACCAGUGUCCUUUACCUUCUUGCCAUAGUUGCCACUUUUGACCCAAUGUCUCUUUAUUUUAUUUUUGGAGGUUCUGGAUUCUGGAAAGCUCAAUGUCUCCUUACAGCUCACCAUUUACAUGAGAAUGUGACAUGCUUGUUAGAAAAAUUUGGAUCAGGUGCAGUGGCUCACACCUGUAAUCACAGUACUUUGGGAAGCUGAAGCAGGUGGAUCAUUUGAGGCCAGGAGUUCAAGACCAGUCUGGCCAAUAUGGUGAAACCCUGUCCCUACUAAAAGUAAAAAAAUGUGUUGGAUAUGAUAGCGGACCUGCAGUCCCAUCUACCUGGGAGGCUGAGACAGAAGAAUCACUUGAACUUGGGAGGCGGAGGUUGCAGUGAGCUGAGAUCGCACCACUGCACUCCAGCCUGGGUGAUCAGAGCAAGACUGUAAAAAAAAAAUUGCUGAUGUUCAAACCGUGUGCAUUUUUCUUUCUCCUUUGUUUUAGUGUGGAACACUUCUAAAC